CAGAUAAGGGUUGGUACUGAGAGUCAGAGAUAUUAUGUGAAACUGAUGUCCUACACUAUUACUGCGAAAGUUUACUCCCAGCAAGCUACAUGAGAAAUUCAGCAAAGACUCCUAAAGGGUUUACACUAAAAAUGUGUAGGAUAAAUAAAUGAUUAUUUUUUCUGUCAAUCUGGUUCUUCCCCCGUAAAUGUUCCUCUUGACUGACUGAGAGAAAAAGGGAACACGUUACCAUGGCCUGCAAAUCCCUGUUGCUUAGCUGAAGUACAGCACUGAGUUGAGACGACAAUGUUUGCAUGUUGUAAGAUUAUGGAAGCUGUGUGCAGUGGAAGGCUGGAUGUUAGCUGGGGAUGACCUUGAGAAUGGAGAGAAAGCAUCUGAAAACUUCAAGGGUGUAGAGAAGAAAAACAGCCGAGGAAUUCAACUUCUUUUCUACCUGGCUGUUAAGGUAAUCACCGCGCUGUUGUUUGGAGAGGAGAGCCAGACGGGCUGGAACAAUAGCAGCGUGUAUAAACUUUCCCCAUUCACCUCAAAGGGCUUCAGUUCUAACACCUCAUUAAGAUGGUUUAAAUGCAAAAGCUGCCGUUUUGUUGUUGAUUAUCAUAUCAGAAACCUUCACCUAACGUACUUAAUUAGUACAGCUGCAAGCCCUGGCAUGUCUUCAUGGAGGGGUAAGUUUCAAGCUUAA
rnacentral:lncRNA from 1 species